ACGGGAGGCAGCAGUGGGGAAUAUUGCACAAUGGGGGAAACCCUGAUGCAGCGACGCCGCGUGAGUGAAGAAGUUAUUCGUAAUGUAAAGCUCUAUCAGCAGGGAAGAAAAUGACGGUACCUGACUAAGAAGCCCCGGCUAACUACGUGCCAGCAGCCGCGGUAAUACGUAGGGGGCAAGCGUUAUCCGGAUUUACUGGGUGUAAAGGGAGCGUAGACGGCGAUGCAAGUCUGAUGUGAAAGCCCGGGGCUCAACCCCGGCACUGCAUUGGAAACUGUGUUGCUAGAGUGCAGGAGAGGUAAGUGGAAUUCCUAGUGUAGCGGUGAAAUGCGUAGAUAUUAGGAGGAACACCAGUGGCGAAGGCGGCUUACUGGACUGUAACUGACGUUGAGGCUCGAAAGCGUGGGGAGCAAACAGGAUUAGAUACCCUGGUA
rnacentral:rRNA from 2 species